rnacentral:rRNA from 1 species
UACAGAGGUGGCAAGCGUUGUUCGGAAUUACUGGGCGUAAAGGGCGCGUAGGCGGCCAGCACAAGUCAGUUGUGAAAUCUCCGAGCUUAACUCGGAAAGGUCAACUGAUACUGUGCGGCUAGAGUGCGGAAGGGGCAACUGGAAUUCUUGGUGUAGCGGUGAAAUGCGUAGAUAUCAAGAGGAACACCUGCGGCGAAGGCGGGUUGCUGGGCUGACACUGACGCUGAUGCGCGAAAGCCAGGGGAGCGAAGCGGG